rnacentral:rRNA from 1 species
GAUGAACGCUGGCGGCGUGCCUAAUACAUGCAAGUCGAGCGAACAGACGAGGAGCUUGCUCCUCUGACGUUAGCGGCGGACGGGUUAGUAACACGUGGAUAACCUACCUAUAAGACUGGGAUAACUUCGGGAAACCGGAGCUAAUACCGGAUAAUAUAUUGAACCGCAUGGUUCAAUAGUGAAAGACGGUUUUGCUGUCACUUAUAGAUGGAUCCGCGCCGCAUUAGCUAGUUGGUAAGGUAACGGCUUACCACGGGAACGAUGCGUAGCCGACCGACGAGGCUGAUUCCCCCCACGAGAGCGGAGACACGCCACAUAACCACACGGACGACAGCAGUAGGGAAUCUGCGGCAGCGGGCGACAGACUGACAGAGGCACACUGAGCAAGUGAGGAAGGUCUUCGGGUCGUAUUACUCUGAUAUUAUGUAAGAACAAAUGUGUAAGAAACCAUACAAGUCUUGAAGGUACCUAAUAAGAAAGACACGGCUAACUACGUG